AGAGUUUGAUCCUGGCUAUCAACGCUGGCGGCGCGCCUAACACAUGCAAGUCGAACGAGAAAGUGGAGCAAUCCAUGAGUAAAGUGGCGUACGGGUGAGUAACACGUGGGUGAUCUACCUCUUAGUGAGGAAUAACCCUGGGAAACCGGGGCUAAUACCGCAUAAGCCUUAGCAGGGAAAGUCGAAAGACGCUGAGAGAGGAGCCCGCGGCCGAUUAGCUAGUUGGUGGGGUAAAGGCCCACCAAGGCAGAGAUCGGUAGCCGGCCUGAGAGGGCACACGGCCACACUGGCACUGAAACACGGGCCAGACCGGGAGGCAGCAGUGGGGAAUCCUGCACAAUGGGGGAAACCCUGAUGCAGCGACGCCGCGUGAGCGAUGAAGCCCUUCGGGGUGUAAAGCUCUUUCGUCAGGGAAGAUAGUGACGGUACCUGGAGAAGCAGCUGCGGCUAACUACGUGCCAGCAGCCGCGGUAAUACGUAGGCAGCAAGCGUUGUUCGGAGUUACUGGGCGUAAAGGGUGUGUAGGCGGUUCUUUAAGUUUGGUGUGAAAUCUCCCGGCUCAACCGGGAGGGUGCGCCGAAUACUGAGGGACUAGAGUGUGGGAGAGGAAAGUGGAAUUCCUGGUGUAGCGGUGAAAUGCGUAGAUAUCAGGAGGAACACCGGUGGUGUAGACGGCUUUCUGGACCAUAACUGACGCUGAGACACGAAAGCGUGGGUAGCAAACAGGAUUAGAUACCCUGGUAGUCCACGCCCUAAACGAUGCAUAUUUGGUGUGGGUCACUCAGUUGAUCCGUGCCGGAGCUAACGCGUUAAAUAUGCCGCCUGGGGAGUACAGUCGCAAGGCUGAAACUCAAAGGAAUUGACGGGGGCCCGCACAGGCGGUGGAGCAUGUGGUUUCAAUUCGACGCAACGCG
rnacentral:rRNA from 1 species